UGCCAGACUCCUACGGGAGGCAGCAGUGGGGAAUAUUGCACAAUGGGCGCAAGCCUGAUGCAGCAACGCCGCGUGAGCGAAGAAGGUCUUCGGAUCGUAAAGCUCUGUCCUUGAGGAAGAAGGAAGUGACGGUACUCAAGGAGGAAGCUCCGGCUAACUACGUGCCAGCAGCCGCGGUAAUACGUAGGGAGCAAGCGUUGUCCGGAAUUACUGGGUGUAAAGGGCGUGUAGGCGGGUCUGCAAGUCAGAUGUGAAAUCUCAUGGCUCAACCAUGGAACUGCAUUUGAAACUGUAGAUCUUGAGUGAUGGAGAGGCAGGCGGAAUUCCGUGUGUAGCGGUGAAAUGCGUAGAUAUACGGAGGAACACCAGUGGCGAAGGCGGCCUGCUGGACAUUAGCUGACGCUGAGGCGCGAAAGCGUGGGGAGCAAACAGGAUUAGAUACCCUAGUACU
rnacentral:rRNA from 1 species